GACGAACGCUGGCGGCGUGCCUAAUACAUGCAAGUCGAACGCAGUGGGGACGGGUGAGUAACACGUGGGUAACCUCCCAUCAGAGGGGAUAACACUUGGAAACAGGUGCUAAACCGAUACUGGUGGAUGGACCCGCGGUGCAUUAGAUAGGGGGUGAGGUACCGGCUCACCAAGGCCACGAUGCAGAGGCGAGCGGAGCGGGGGGUAUGCUAACCUGCGACUGAGACACGGCACAGACUAAUACGGGAGGCAGCAGUGGGGUAUCUUCUGUAAUGGACGAGAGUCUGACCGAAAAACGCCGCGUGAGUGAAGGAGGGUUUCGGAUCGUCAUACUCUGUUGUUAUAGAAGCGGUAUUUAACCAGAAAGCCACGGCUAACUACGUGCCAGCAGCCGCGGUAAUAC
rnacentral:rRNA from 1 species